CACGUAGGGCGCAAGCGUUUGUCCGGAAUUAUUGGGCGUAAAGAGCUCGUAGGCGGUUUGUCGCGUCUGCUGUGAAAACUCGGGGCUUAACCCCGGGCCUGCAGUGGGUACGGGCAGACUAGAGUGCGGUAGGGGAGACUGGAAUUCCUGGUGUAGCGGUGAAAUGCGCAGAUAUCAGGAGGAACACCGGUGGCGAAGGCGGGUCUCUGGGCCGUAACUGACGCUGAGGAGCGAAAGCGUGGGGAGCGAACAGG
rnacentral:rRNA from 1 species